rnacentral:rRNA from 1 species
GACGAACGCUGGCGGCGUGCCUAAUACAUGCAAGUAGAACGCUGAAGGAGGAGCUUGCUUCUCUGGAUGAGUUGCGAACGGGUGAGUAACGCGUAGGUAACCUGCCUGGUAGCGGGGGAUAACUAUUGGAAACGAUAGCUAAUACCGCAUAACAGUAGAUAUCGCAUGAUAUCUACUUGAAAGGUGCAAUUGCAUCACUACCAGAUGGACCUGCAUUGUAUUAGCUAGUUGGUGAGGUACGGCUCACCAAGGCGACGAUACAUAGCCGACCUGAGAGGGUGAUCGGCCACACUGGGACUGAGACACGGCCCAGACUCCUACGGGAGGCAGCAGUAGGGAAUCUUCGGCAAUGGACGGAAGUCUGACCGAGCAACGCCGCGUGAGUGAAGAAGGUUUUCGGAUCGUAAAGCUCUGUUGUAAAAGAAGAACGAGUGUGAGAGUGGAAAGUUCACACUGUGACGGUAUCUUACCAGAAAGGGACGGCUAACUACGUG